GAUCCUGGCUCGGAUUGAACGCUGGCGGCAGGCCUAACACAUGCAAGUCGAACGGUAACAGGGAGCAGCUUGCUGCUUUGCUGACGAGUGGCGGACGGGUGAGUAAUGUCUGGGAACUGCCUGAUGGAGGGGGAUAACUACUGGAAACGGUAGCUAAUACCGCAUAACGUCGCAAGACCAAAGAGGGGGGACCUUAGGGCCUCUUGCCAUCGGAUGUGCCCAGAUGGGAUUAGCUAGUAGGUGGGG
rnacentral:rRNA from 1 species